AACAUCGCGCACCUGCGGGAACCUGCGGAAGGAUCAUUACCGAGUUGUACAACUCCCAAACCCACUGUGAACCUUACCUCAGUUGCCUCGGCGGGAACGCCCCGGCCGCCUGCCCCCGCGCCGGCGCCGGACCCAGGCGCCCGCCGCAGGGACCCCAAACUCUCUUGCAUUACGCCCAGCGGGCGGAAUUUCUUCUCUGAGUUGCACAAGCAAAAACAAAUGAAUCAAAACUUUUAACAA
rnacentral:misc_RNA from 1 species